UACGUAGGGUGCAAGCGUUGUCCGGAAUUAUUGGGCGUAAAGAGCUCGUAGGCGGUCUGUCGCGUCGGACGUGAAAAUCCAGGGCUCAACCCUGGACCUGCGUUCGAUACGGGCAGACUAGAGUUCGGUAGGGGAGACUGGAAUUCCUGGUGUAGCGGUGAAAUGCGCAGAUAUCAGGAGGAACACCUAUUGCGAAGGCAGCUCGCUGGGACGUAACUGACGCUGAGACGCGAAAGCGUGGGGAGCAAACAGG
rnacentral:rRNA from 1 species